rfam:Oryza punctata chromosome 7, whole genome shotgun sequence.
AAAAAGAACACGGUUUUUUUUAUCUAACGUUUGACCGUUCGUCUUAUUUGAAAUUAUUUUACAAUUGAUAUUUUUUUAUUGGAUGAUAAAACAUAAAUAGUACUUUAAGCGUAACUAUUUUUUUAAUUUUCUUAUAAUUUUUUUAAUAAAAUAGACAGUCAAACGUUAGACAUAGAAAUCUAUAGCUGCACUUAAA